rnacentral:rRNA from 1 species
UACGUAGGGUGCAAGCGUUGUCCGGAAUUAUUGGGCGUAAAGAGCUCGUAGGCGGUUCGUCGCGUCGGCUGUGAAAACCCGGAGCUCAACUCCGGGCCUGCAGUCGAUACGGGCGGACUGGAGUUCGGCAGGGGAGACUGGAAUUCCUGGUGUAGCGGUGAAAUGCGCAGAUAUCAGGAGGAACACCGGUGGCGAAGGCGGGUCUCUGGGCCGAUACUGACGCUGAGGAGCGAAAGCAUGGGGAGCGAACAGG